rnacentral:rRNA from 1 species
AACGAACGCUGGCGGCAUGCCUAACACAUGCAAGUCGAACGAGACCUUCGGGUCUAGUGGCGCACGGGUGCGUAACGCGUGGGAAACUGCCCUUAGGUUCGGAAUAACUCCCCGAAAGGGGUGCUAAUACCGGAUAAUGUCUUCGGACCAAAGAUUUAUCGCCUUUGGAUGGGCCCGCGUUGGAUUAGCCAGUUGGUAGGGUAAAAGCCUACCAAGGCGACGAUCCAUAGCUGGUCUGAGAGGAUGAUCAGCCACACUGGGACUGAGACACGGCCCAGACUCCUACGGGAGGCAGCAGUAGGGAAUAUUGGACAAUGGGCGAAAGCCUGAUACAGCAGUGCCGCGUGAGUGAUGAAGGCCUUAGGGUUGUAAAGCUCUUUUACCCGGGAUGAUAAUGACAGUACCGGGAGAAUAAGCUCCGGCUAACUCCGUG